AGAAGUAUCGAGUGGCAAGUGAAGGGCGUAGUUCACCAUUUGUCUAGAUCAUGAUCAUGGGGUGAGAGGAGGUUUGGUGGCUCGAUUGUCACCGUGUACCACACAAAGACCGAUGCUACAGCGCAGUCAAGUCAAGGACAAAA